AUUGAACGCUGGCGGCAAGCCUAACACCUGCAAGUAGAACGAGUGGCGGACGGGUGAGUAAUGACUGGGAAACUGCCUGCUGGAGGGGGAUAACUCCUGGAAAAGGUAGCUAAUACCGCAUACCAUCGGAUGUGCCCAGAUGGGAUUAGCUGGUAGGGGGUGUAAAGGCUAACCUAGGCGACGAUCCCUAGCGGGGAUGGUAGGAUGACCAGCCACACUGGAACGGCGACAUGUUCCAGACGCCUCCGGGAGGCAGAAGUGGGGAAAAUGACACAAUGGGGGCAAGCCUGCUGCAGCCACGCCGCGUGUAUGAAGAAGUCCUUCGGGUUGUAAAGUCCGUUCCGCGGGGAGGCGUUACCCGCAGAAGAAGCACCGGCUAACUCCGUGCCAGCAGCCGCGGUAAUUC
rnacentral:rRNA from 1 species